AUACGGAGGGUGCAAGCGUUAAUCGGAAUUACUGGGCUUAAAGCGCGUGUAGGCGGAGUAUCAGGUGUCUUGUGAAAUCCCCGGGCUCAACCCGGGAACUGCUGGGCAAACCGGUACUCUUGAGGCAAGUAGAGGUGAGUGGAACAACUGGUGGAGCGGUGAAAUGCGUAGAUAUCAGUUGGAACGCCGGAGGCGAAAGCGGCUCACUGGGCUUGUUCUGACGCUGAGACGCGAAAGCGUGGGUAGCAAACAGGAUUAGAAACCCUAGUAGUCC
rnacentral:rRNA from 1 species